rnacentral:rRNA from 1 species
AAAUCUCGUGCCAGCCACCGCGGUUAGACGAGAGGCCCCAGUUGAUAAUGAAACGGCGUAAAGGGUGGUUAAGGAUAGACAAAAAUUAAAGCCAAAUGACCCCUUGGCCGUCAUACGCUUCUAGGCGUCCGAAGCCCUAACACGAAAGUAGCUUUAAAACCCCACCUGACCCCACGAAAGCUGAGAAACAAACUGGGAUUAGAUACCCCACUAUGCUCAGCCGUAAACCCAGACAUUCAACUACAAUUAAAUGUCCGCCAGGGUACUACAAGCAUUAGCUUAAAACCCAAAAGACCUGACGGUGUCUCAAACCCCCCUAGAGGAGCCUGUUCUAGAACCGAUAAUCCCCGUUAAACCUCACCACCUCUAGCCACCCCAGCCUAUAUACCGCCGUCGUCAGCUUACCCUGUGAAGGAGAUAGAAGUAAGCAAAAUGGGUACAACCCANAACGUCAGGUCGAGGUGUAGCGCAUGAAGUGGAAAGAAAUGGGCUACNUUUUCUACUACAGAAUAAUACGAAUAUGCACCAUGAAAUAAUGCUUGAAGGAGGAUUUAGUAGUAAAAAGGAAAUAGAGCGUCCUUUUGAACUCGGCCCUGAGACGCGUACACACCGCCCGUC